AUGAUCAUUGUAUGUUUGCCACGGGCCACGACCGAGGUGACGACCCUGAAGCAAGCGCUAACCAAGGCCGAAGAUAAAGCGGCCAAGAAGCGCACCGAGCGAGAGAAGCACGAGACUCGGGUGGGCGAGGUGCAGCAAGAGCUCCAGGCUCUCGUGACGAAGCACGAGGCGUUGGAGCUUGACUCGAAGACACGAGAGUCUGAGCUUGCCGCGGCCCUUGAAAGUAUAAAGAGUGCCAAGGCCGAGGCCCAGAAGGCCCUCCAAGAGAUCGACGCGAUGAAGAAGAUAGCGGCGGAUUUGCCCCACAGUGUGUCCAAUGCCGCACAAUUUUAUCAGGCCGAGGACGGAAGCUCGACGGAGAAGCUGUUCUGGUUUCAGUAUGCUGAGGCCGAACAUCCGGUGCCAAUGAGCGACCAGCUGAAGCAGAUGGUCGAGCUGCAUAAGGUGGCCGAUCAGGCCAUGAAGAACUUUAUAGUCCGGCUGUGGCCUGGCGACGCCCUUCCGAACAGCUUCUUCGGCCUGGUGAGGUGGCUUGUGGAUGCCUGCCCGUGGCUGGAGGUCGUCAAGCGAUCCAUCUGCAUUGAAGGUGCACGUCGGGCUUUCGCCCGUGUGAAAUUGCAGUGGGUCAAGUUAGACGCCGUGAAGCUGAUCAAGGAGGGGCCGCCAGAGGGCAAGGAGCACCGCCACCCCGAGAUGUACUAUGAGGGUGUUCUGCCGGGUGCCCGUCUCAUCGCAGACGAGUGUUCAAAAGAUGUAAUAUUUGAGUAA
rnacentral:rRNA from 1 species